rnacentral:rRNA from 1 species
GAACGGGUGAGUAACACGUGAGCAACCUGCCCCUGACUCCGGGAUAAGCGGUGGAAACGCCGUCUAAUACCGGAUACGACCUCCCACCUCAUGGUGGAGGGUGGAAAGUUUUUCGGUCAGGGAUGGGCUCGCGGCCUAUCAGCUUGUUGGUGGGGUAACGGCCUACCAAGGCGAUUACGGGUAGCCGGCCUGAGAGGGCGACCGGCCACACUGGGACUGAGACACGGCCCAGACUCCUGCGGGAGGCAGCAGUGGGGAAUAUUGCGCAAUGGGCGAAAGCCUGACGCAGCGACGCCGCGUGGGGGAUGACGGCCUUCGGGUUGUAAACCUCUUUUACCACCAACGCAGGCUUCCAGUUCUCUGGGAGUUGACGGUAGGUGGGGAAUAAGGACCGGCUAACUACGUGCCAGCAGCCGCGGUAAUACGUAGGGUCCGAGCGUUGUCCGGAAUUAUUGGGCGUAAAGAGCUCGUAGGCGGCGUGUCACGUCUGCUGUGAAAGACCGGGGCUUAACUCCGGUUCUGCAGUGGAUACGGGCAUGC